UACGUAGGGUGCGAGCGUUGUCCGGAUUUAUUGGGCGUAAAGAGCUCGUAGGCGGUUUGUCGCGUCGGCCGUGAAAUCUCCACGCUUAACGUGGAGCGUGCGGUCGAUACGGGCAGACUUGAGUUCGGUAGGGGAGACUGGAAUUCCUGGUGUAGCGGUGAAAUGCGCAGAUAUCAGGAGGAACACCGAUGGCGAAGGCAGAUCUCUGGGCCUUACCUGACGCUGGAGGAGCGAAAGCCGUGGGGAGCGAACGGG
rnacentral:rRNA from 1 species